rnacentral:lncRNA from 1 species
CGCCAUGCUAACAAACAGAGGGUUGCAGCUGUCCCUGCCACUCAUGAUGGAAAAUCCCACAUCACCUUGUAUCUAGAGUGACUUAAUAUAACAUAUUCUACGGAAGGAAACUGCAAUAUGCCACUCGCCAGCUGGUGUUUGAUUUAUAAUCCCAACAACUGUAGCAAUAGAAAGACAACAGAAGAAAACUUUGACCAUCCAGUUUAGGAAGGAUCAAAACUUCUGUUACUCCUAACAAAUCAGAGGAUGACAAAGUUAAGGAUCUGCCACACUGAUCAACUAGUCUAUACAAGCCAAAUGCUGGCAUUGCGUGGCAGUGAGACAAACUUGAUUUCUCUAAUUACUACAAAGGUCGGCCUAGUGCAACUGUGGGCUGUCAUCAAACACCCAACAAGAGUACAGCAGGAACUUUCUUUUUUUUAAGACUAAAAACUGGAAAAGAGGACAAGAAAAUGAGAGGGAAAAUGAACACCAUAGUUAUCCCAUUACUUCCUCCCAUGUAUCAGAAGAGAAUACCACAAAUGUAUUUUCACAAUAGCCUGUAUCUGCAGUCCUAUAAAGAAAAUAAAUAAAGCGUGUGUAACGGAUCGCCUGGCACCCGACUGGGUACCUCCGUUGAAGGAUGCUCCUAGCGCUUCCUGAGGACUCCAAGCACUGCAGCAGACACCACAACCACUGAACCGGAGAGCUAGUACUCCCCAGACCCAUGGUGGAGCCCCUGGACAUAGACAAACUACCCACUACCCCAGAUACAGUAACUUUUCAUUGUGGGUGGGCUGCACUACUGACUAUGUUUUGUGGGUGGGUUGCUGGACUAACCAAGGCACUGACCGACAGGAGGUCAGAUACCUUGUUAGUCUUUUUGGAAAAGGGGAGAAAUGUGGCGAACCCGUCCCUCGCCCAUGGGCAUUGGAGAAGACUGAUUGCCAGCCUCCUGCCAUGUGACCAUGGCCCCUGGGAUGUAUUGCCCUUUAAAGACAUGAUUUGGGCAUAAUGGAUUUGUGUUGCGCUGCUGCUGGCCCUUUAAUAACCAUCUGGGGACAUACUGUGGAGUUACUGGGUGGCCACCAUUUCAUGUAUCAGAGGCACAUGGUGAAAACAAUGGAUGAAGCACAUGGUGAGAACAAUGGAUGGCGGCCAUUUUAACUCACAGACACUGUUUGGACUUUUCUACACGGUGCCAUCUCGCCAGUAUUUGGUGCACAGAGACAUCGUGCAGUGGUUUUGGACUAUACAACAGGGGACACAUUAUACAGUAAUUGUUUUUCAUAUAGCCUGUAUAUGUUCUGCAGAAUCUGCAUUAAACUGUAUCUUCCAAAGUACUGAACGGAUCUGGGUGAAUUUUGGAUAUGUGGUUCACCCAGAUCCCCUGGUUCAAAUGCUAUACUUUUUAUUGCAUGUUUUGGGGUCUCUGUGAUGUGUUUUAUGAUACUGUAUUUCUCUGCCGGUGAUAAUUACAUUACCCAUUGUGUAAGGUAAUUGUAUCACAGGCAGAGGGGAGGAUUUUGUGUGGGAGUGUCUGAGUGUAUUGUACGUGUUUAUUGGUUGUUUUCAAAAACCCUGUGGGCAGUACUACGUUUGUGGAUUGUGAAUAAAAGAGGCUGUAUGUGCCAGUACAGUCAGUUCUGCUUGACCUCAAAAUGAAGUGUCGUCUCAUUAUUGGGGGAAUUGGAUUGUAUGCUGAUUGCCAGGAGUGUAAGCAGAUUGUAUGCUUUUCCUGUUCAGCUGCUUAAAGCAUUCAUAUGCUUGAGAGCAUUCAUAUGCUCCUAUGGUUCGGUG